AGAGUUUGAUCCUGGCUCAGGACGAACGCUGGCGGCGUGCCUAAUACAUGCAAGUCGAGCGGAAUGAUGAAGAAGCUUGCUUCUUCUGAUUUUAGCGGCGGACGGGUGAGUAACACGUGGGCAACCUACCUUGUAGAUUGGGAUAACUCCGGGAAACCGGGGCUAAUACCGAAUAAACCAUUUUGCUUCAUGGCAAGAUGUUGAAAGGCGGCUUCGGCUGUCACUACUAGAUGGGCCCGCGGCGUAUUAGCUAGUUGGUAGGGUAAUGGCCUACCAAGGCGACGAUACGUAGCCGACCUGAGAGGGUGAUCGGCCACACUGGGACUGAGACACGGCCCAGACUCCUACGGGAGGCAGCAGUAGGGAAUCUUCCACAAUGGACGAAUGUUUGAUGGAGCAACGCCGCGUGAGUGAAGAAGGUUUUCGGAUCGUAAAACUCUGUUGUAAGGGAAGAACACGUACGAGAGUAACUGCUCGUACCUUGACGGUACCUUAUUAGAAAGCCACGGCUAACUACGUGCCAGCAGCCGCGGUAAUACGUAGGUGGCAAGCGUUGUCCGGAAUUAUUGGGCGUAAAGCGCGCGCAGGCGGUUCUUUAAGUCUGAUGUGAAAGCCCACGGCUCAACCGUGGAGGGUCAUUGGAAACUGGAGAACUUGAGUACAGAAGAGGAAAGCGGAAUUCCACGUGUAGCGGUGAAAU
rnacentral:rRNA from 1 species